CAGGAGCCCCCCCCCCCCCCCCGCCAAGGCGCGUCCCCUUUCUGGGGUUAUUUUUACAAAAGGUUAUGUGUUUUUUUUUAUUAUUUUUUUUUAUAUUCUCCCUCCCGUCCCGCUGGAUCUCGCCGUGCCACGCGCUUUGAAAGAAAAGUCUCCCAGCUUGACUCAUCCCCGCCAGCACGUGGUGCAGCAACAGUUUAUUUUCCUCACAGACCAGAGCGAUGCGGGAGCCCUCGGCCCCGCAGCACCGGCCCCGCUGCCGCUGCUUCGCCCGCACCCCCGAAGGCGAAACUCCGGUGUGGGGGGGGGGGGGGGCGCAUACAGCGGGCGGGGGCUUAGCGUGGAAAGUAAGACGAGCCGCCUUACCUUUAAAAAAUAAAUAAUUAAAAAAUGAAAAGGAAAAGGCGUGCGGAUGUGGUGUGUUUUUGUGCGUGUGUUUGUUUUAGUGCCGCGCGGCCACGUGCUCGCUUGUUUGUGAACGAGGCGGCGCCGGGGCAGGCAUGUCGGGCUGCGAGCGAGCGCUUUAAGCGGCUGAUGAAAUAAUAAAUUCCUACGGCGAAAACAGGGCUCGCUUCUCCCCCCCCCCUCCUUUCCCUCCCUCCCUCUCUCUUUUUUUUUCGGGCUCAGCCGAUCCGCACAAACGCGCAUUCACGGCAGAAGAGGAAGCGACGGCGCUUUUUCGACAGCCAGCCCUUCCCCGGCACCUCUUCUCUGUUUCUCUUCACAGGUUGGCAAGGCUGUGGAUUUAGUAUUACUUAAUCUGCUGGAGCUGUAUCAGCACUAAUCAUAUCUCACGUGCAGUUCAUGCUGCUCACGGAGCAACUUUGGCUUCUAUGCAGCUCCUCGGGACAUGGUGACAAUAAACAUGACGCUGAUCUCUGUGGAACACCGAGAUACCACUGAAGUGUUUGUGAGGAAACAUACUACUUAUAGUUUGUGCAGAAUUAAGUAGUGCACAGUAAGUUAGGCAAGUUACACCUUUCACAACAAGAAUAAAGUGAUGCAACAAAUAACUGUUCUUUCAGGAGAUAAAUCUGUCCUAUGCACGGAAAAAGAGGGAUUCUUGUGGGUCACACCCAUUCUUCACCUUUACUUACCCAUGACAUUGACUAGUCUCAGAUGGUCUAGAGGAAAAGGAGAGGCCACAGAAGGCAGACAGACAUGAGGUAAUAUUUUCCCACAAAUGUCCCAUCCGAUUCUUUAAUGGUUAGAUACAAGCCCUGAAGCAAUAGCUUAAUAAAACUUACUUUGUUAAUGAGACAGGUGGAUGGCUUCUAUACUGGUAUAAAUGUUUGAUAUCUGUAUGGUAUUUAAACACAGUAAUGGCAGGCGGUGGCAGAGUACCAUGUUGAAUUGUGAACUACAUAAGGCAUUUCUUUUUUUUUUUUUCUUCUCAUCUAUUUAUUUCAUUGAAUAUCCUCUUGUGCUUUGAGACAAGGAAAACAAAGUUCCUGUUUUUUACCUGCUCUUACCAUUUGUUAUUCUAUGUGAAAAGCAUCACGUCUGCUUUCGAAGAUAAAUAAAUCAGUUUUCACAAUCUCUUUUCCUAUGAGAAUUGCUCCCAGCUUUUGAUUGUUGUCUUGGUUCUUUCCCAAGUCUAUUUGGUCCUGCAGUAUUCCAUUUUUCAGUAGAGGUGACUUAGGCUGCACGCAGUAUUCUAAGCGAGGUUAUGCUUCUGAUUACAAUAUAUAUGUGUAUUUGAUAUUACUCCCUGACCUAUUUCUUCUGGAAUCUAGCAUGUUAGGCGUUAUUUUUGGCUGCUGCUACAUACUGAGCAGAGGGCUCUAACAAUUUUGGAGAACGUAUAGCUUGUUUGAAGUUACUCUUAUCUGCAGGUUUUAUAUUCGUCUUGGUGUUGAGCUUCUGUUAUUGCAUUAUUCAUUCAUGCAACAGGAGUCACACUGUAGUUGUGACAAGUUUCCCUCUUCCCAAAUACACUUUUGAUAGCUGCAGACUUCAGUACCUCACUCUUCUUUACCUGUCCUGUUUUUUUUGUCUCUCACUGGGCUGAGUUAAUAUAUUAAAACAGAGUACAGGACCUGGACGCACCCUACUGUUAACCUUUUGUCAUAAUAAAAAUUAUCCUUGCACUGUGUUUCUCUUUCUCUAACCAGAUUUUCAUUCGUGACAAUUGUUUGCCUUUUCCCCUAGCUUGUUCUUUGUCUGGUAGCUCCUUGCAUGGAACCUUUUCAAAAACUUUGGAAAUCUAAAUUAUGCCAGCCAGCUGUGCUCCCAUAACUAGAGCUCACUUUUUGCCAUUCUGAAAGGGGGGAAAAAGGGGUAAAUCAAAGUUGCGAAGACAAUCCUAACAUUUCAGAACUUCUCUGUAAUAGACUCUGCAACUUGGAUGUGCUUUACACUCUUUUAUGUGUGCGCUUUUGUGCUUGUCAAAGAUCAAACAGGAGGCAAAGCUCAGGAAUCCCACAUGUGGAAUCACACUGAUUCCUGUCUGGUAUGGCGUCAGGUCUCCAACCUAUGGGUUCUCUGCAUGGAUUUUAGUACAGACUUGAGGUAACAGGCAGUAGUUACCAUUCUUGAUGAAGAUCAGCUGCUCCAGUGAUGCCUGCUUGCCACUGAGAUUUUCAGACACCAGUGAAGAGGAAUGCUGCUCCUGUUGGAGGUUUUAGUGCUGUCUUUCUCUGGGGCCUCCUACAACUCCUCAUGUGCCAGCCCUUGCUCCCUUAUUUCCACGUAGGCCUCCCCCACAUCUGUGCCUCAGUAUGUAAGCAUAUGGAAGUAGAGUAUUAUCCAUGAUUACUACAGAGGCAACUUAAGUACAUGCAGUAAUGUUAUAAGACAAUGCAGAAACUUCAUAAAUGGCAUAAUCACUUCUGCUUUGAGACUGAAAGCUGCACAGAUACUCGGGGGAGUGGUUUACGAAGCUUGCUUUAACAUGAAAGCGUACAAUUUGAAGUCAGGCCACUGUGUAAAAUUAAAAGUGAAUUAUAGAUUUAAUCUUGCUUGGAGUAACAGUGUUCACUUUCAGGUUUUAACUUAAAAUGAAAGUGUGACUAGGAACAGACCGCAGGCAUGUAAUUCCACAGUUUAUGUAGAAAUUAGCAUUUUUGUCCACCACAGAUGCAUCUUGUGCCUGCUUUACCUUCUUGUCUAUGGUGGGGGGUAGGAGGCAGGGCUCUGGCUCUUAUCUUUAGUAUGACACAAGUGAGCAUAUCAUAAUCAGCGUGACAAAUGACAUGGUUGUUAACAGUCUCAGUCUAGUUCAAGAACUUGGGGCAUGGGAGAAAACAGAUCCUUCUUUCCUGAAAUUUGAAACUGGGUGCAAUUUUGCAAUUUAUGUAAUCAGUUUUUGCUUAUCUGGAAGAAGUAUAGCAAGUAACGUGGGUAUGGCUGACCAAAAAAAUGUGGUUUGGGGAUUUUUUUUUUCUGCGUGUGGGAUAACAAACCUGCUUUUACCACCAACUGUUGCAUAUCAAGAACAAAGCAGUAGGCUUACUGCGAUGCACCCCAAGCAAGGGUGACCUCUCCUAGCUGAACUUGUCUAUCUAAAUACUAGAAUGACUAUCUCCUCUUAAGCUUUUUUGUCUACAGUGUUACUGUUUGUAUGAAAAUCAUCUAAUAAAGCAAUGAAAACAAAGCC